GUCAGCGUCCACAGGAUGUGGAAGGCGGCCGCCUGCGAGGAUCACAUCCUGCUGCCAAAGAUCAUUCCUCAGUACUUCGCUGGCGCAGAGCUCGUCGGCGAUGGCGAAGCUGGCAGCACAAAGACCUUCCACUUCACUCCAGGUUUAGAUUUUGAUGCUGCUUUCCGACAUUCGUGUGCGUGCGAGAAGAGAUCGCAAAACAAGGAUAAAAAAUAAUCUCACAUCGAUAAAAAGAAUCGGAUGAUACAUAUCGAAACCUUUUUGGUUGAAUUGAUGUAUGAUCUGUUAAUUGGAACUAAUUUGGCUAUUGUUGCGAUCCAUCGAACUGCAGCCGCAGAGCCACUGACCUUCGUGAAGGACCAUGUUGAGGUGUUGGACCACGGAAGCCACACGAUGAGGUACAAGGCGAUCGAAGGAGGUCACCUCGGCCGCACGCUCAAGUCGCACGCGUUCGAGGUCAAGUUCGAAGCGGCGGGCGCCGACAGCUGUGUCGUGAAGACCAAGACAGAAUACGAUACGAUCGACGACGCGCCGCUGCCGGAGGACGAGGUGCAGAAGAUGACGGACGUGCCAGUACGGAUGAUGAAGUCGGUGGAAGCCUAUCUGAUAGCCAACCCCGGUGUUUGUGCCUGAGCCCCUGAGCCUCUGAGCCGGUGGGCUUUCGUGUACCGACGUUGGUGCUUCCAGUGUCGUAGUGCUUGUCAUUGGGCGUGGAUCAAUCAAUAAUGAGGUGAUGCAGCAGUGCUGGAAUCAUCACCUUUAGAGUGAGAGAGUGAGAGAGUGAGAGAGAGAUAGGACAUGACAUGUUGAUGCCAUCUCUCUCUUUGUCUGUUCUUUCCAUCUUCUGCAAUGUGGUGUUUUGUGUGGUCGUUGAAGGACAUAUAUCUACAAAUAAGAUGUGAUUUCUUUGGUAUCAUGUAAUCCUUCUUUUUUGGUAUCAUUCUUAGUAGUCUCUUUUAAAGAUUCAAAGACUAGCGUAAUCCAAAUUAAACAUGGAUUUAAUUGAUUUUACUUAAACUAUAUGAUACGUUUAUAAUGUUUGUUCGUAACGAGUCAACCUUCUCGUAAUUUUAUUUACUCUCAUCCAUAAAUAAAUCAGUUACCGAUAAAUGAAUGCAUGAACAAACAAAUCGAUGUCACCUUAGUAAAAUAUACCUUGGGAUUAUAUAACUAAAAUUGAACAAAAUACCUUCUUAGACGACUAAAAUGGAUGCAUUUUGCUGAAAGAUUUUACGAUAAAAAAUUGAAGGUUAAUUCGUCGUCCAUAAAGUUUAAGUACAUAAGUGAUAGGUUCAUCCAUCGUCCAUAAAGUUUAAGUACAUAAGUGAUAAAACUUCAUCCAAUCUUAUGUUUGUUCAAAAUUUAUAUAAUUAAAUUUGAACAAAAUAUCUUACUAAAAUGGAUGCAUUUUGCUUGCUCUGAAAAAAUUUUACGAUAAAAAAUUGAAGGCUAAUCCAUCGUCAAUAAAAUUUAAGUACAUAAGUGAUAACGUAUCUUAGAACUUUCAUCCAAUCUUGUGUCGGUUCAAAAUUAAAUGUUAACAUGACAUGAGAUUUGACGUAAUAGUGAUGUGACCUUAUCUACAAACUCGAUAGAAACAAAUUAAUUCUUCUAUUUUUUAAGAUAAAUACUGGUAAUACGGCAACAUCAAAAAUAUUAUAUCGUACAAUUUGGUUCUUCCUCUUAGUUUCAAACAUGAAGCUCCACAAAGACGGCAAUAAAAUAAAAUUAACGAAGAAAAAUGCAACACGACAUCAACUCAUCGUGAUCUCACUCACCCUAACAAAGAAUAUAAUAAUAAACUACACCGUUGAAUGAACUGUUAAUUCUUUCAUUAAAUGCAUGAAAUACAUUUAUGGUGAAACUUUGUUUCUAACAUACAUACAUACAUACAUACAUACAUACAUACAUAUUUUAAUCUGACUAGCAUAUGCUUGAAGAAUCCGAUCAUUCUCGACUACGGCUGAUGAUGAUAUGGGGCUGCUCAACAAUGAAGACCGCAAAGUCUGCAUGCUUGUGAGCUUUGAAGUCUUCGCUUCAGUCAACAAAUACUAGCUAGUUUGAAUGCUUCCAAGUUUACCAUGACACCCACUUCUUAGAACAUUGAAUUGGGAUGAGGAUGCCAACAAGAGAAGAUGAACCGAUUCAUUGGCAUGGAGCGAUCUUCGCGUCAUCUCAGACCCCCCCCUUUUUCCAAUCUAAUCGAUGAGGUUACCUAAAGUUCAAACUUCAUCUGGAAGCCCGAGAUGACCCGGCACUCCAUCGCCGUCUAUAAAUGGACUCUUCCCCUUCCCUUCACCACCAACCCAUCACAGCCUGCAGAGCUCUCAUCCGGCAAAACACCUUCAUCGACGCCAUGGUUGCCGGGUGCUGCACCGAAGAGCUGACGCUCAAUGUCAGCGUCCACAGAGUAUGGAAGGCGGCCGCCUGCGAGGAUCACAUCCUGCUGCCAAAGAUCAUGCCGCAGUACUUCUCCGGCGCCGAGCUCAUCGGGGAUGGUGAAGCUGGCAGCACCAAGAUCUUCCACUUCGAUCCAGGUUUGGAUUCACAUCACCAAUGCUUCUUUCAGGUAACAGGAAGAUCCGUAAACUAUGCUGAUUUCAACUGGCAAUUCUGUGGAUGAGACUGCAGGUAUGAAGCCACUGAUCUUCGUGAAGAACCAUGUCGAAGUGCUGGAUCAUGGGAGCCACACCUUGAAGUACAAGACCGUCGAGGGAGGCCACCUCGGCCACACGCUCAAGUCGCACACCAUCGAGCACAAGUACGACGCCUUGAGCGCCGACACCUGCUCUCUGAAGAUCAAGGUGGAGUAU
rnacentral:lncRNA from 1 species